rnacentral:rRNA from 1 species
UACGUAGGGUGCGAGCGUUGUCCGGAAUUACUGGGCGUAAAGAGCUCGUAGGUGGUUUGUCGCGUUGUCCGUGAAAACUCACAACUCAAUUGUGGGCGUGCGGGCGAUACGGGCAGACUGGAGUACUGCAGGGGAGACUGGAAUUCCUGGUGUAGCGGUGGAAUGCGCAGAUAUCAGGAGGAACACCGAUGGCGAAGGCGGGUCUCUGGGCCGAUACUGACGCUGAGGAGCGAAAGCAUGGGUAGCGAACAGG